rnacentral:rRNA from 1 species
GCAGCCUGAUGCAGCAACGCCGCGUGAGGGAUGACGGCCUUCGGGUUGUAAACCUCUUUUAGCAGGGAAGAAGCGAAAGUGACGGUACCUGCAGAAAAAGCGCCGGCUAACUACGUGCCAGCAGCCGCGGUAAUACGUAGGGCGCAAGCGUUAUCCGGAAUUAUUGGGCGUAAAGAGCUCGUAGGCGGUUUGUCGCGUCUGCUGUGAAAUCCGGAGGCUCAACCUCCGGCCUGCAGUGGGUACGGGCAGACUAGAGUGCGGUAGGGGAGAUUGGAAUUCCUGGUGUAGCGGUGGAAUGCGCAGAUAUCAGGAGGAACACCGAUGGCGAAGGCAGAUCUCUGGGCCGUAACUGACGCUGAGGAGCGAAAGGGUGGGGAGCAAACAGGCUUAGAUACCCUGGUAGUCCACCCCGUAAACGUUGGGAACUAGUUGUGGGGUCCAUUCCACGGAUUCCGUGACGCAGCUAACGCAUUAAGUUCCCCGCCUGGGGAGUACGGCCGCAAGGCUAAAACUCAAAGGAAUUGACGGGGACCCGCACAAGCGGCGGAGCAUGCGGAUUAAUUCGAUGCAACGCGAAGAACCUUACCAAGGCUUGACAUAUACGAGAACGGGCCAGAAAUGGUCAACUCUUUGGAC